rnacentral:sRNA from 1 species
CCUUGAUAUCAGUCCCCAGCUUCCAGCUCUCUUCCCCUGAACAGCUAGGAGCCAAUCCUUUGGUUCCAGAAGAAAUCAUAUAGUUUCUUCAACCCUCUUUCCUUCCCUCCCUAGAACAUGUUGUUCCUUUGUCCUCCCUCCAGCAGGUAAACAAUCCAUGUUUUUAUUCUCUUUCCUGUCCCCCACUUCCUCUUCCCUAUCAAGUUCAUGGAAUGUCUGAUGAUUGGUCGGGAUCUCGUAAGACUACUUCAGAAUGUUGCUAGGAUACCAGAAUUUGAACUGCUUUGGAAAGAUAUUAUCCAUAAUCCUCAGGCCUUGAGUCCUCAGUUCACAGGUAUCCUACAGCUUCUUCAGUCAAGAACAUCCCGAAAAUUCCUAGCAUGUCGUCUAACCCCAGACAUGGAGACUAAACUCCUCUUCAUGACAUCCCGGGUGCGAUUUGGUCAACAAAAGCGAUACCAAGAUUGGUUCCAGCGCCAGUACCUGUCAACUCCAGAUAGUCAGUCUCUGCGCUGUGACCUCAUUCGCUACAUCUGUGGGGUAGUCCACCCUUCUAAUGAAGUACUGAGUUCAGAUAUCUUGCCCCGGUGGGCCAUCAUUGGUUGGCUCCUGACAACGUGCACGUCAAAUGUCGCUGCCUCCAAUGCCAAGCUGGCUUUGUUUUACGACUGGCUGUUCUUUAGUCCAGACAAGGAUAGCAUUAUGAACAUAGAACCAGCCAUCCUGGUCAUGCACCACUCCAUGAAGCCCCACCCAGCCAUCACUGCCACACUCCUGGAUUUCAUGUGCCGCAUCAUUCCCAACUUCUAUCCACCAUUGGAGGGCCAUGUGCGGCAGGGUGUCUUUUCCUCCCUCAACCACAUUGUGG